rnacentral:lncRNA from 1 species
AAAAUCUGUGCUGGGAUGCUUUUAGAUCUUUCAUCAUUGAAGAGCAGAAAUCUCUAAUGCAUUGUAAAUCCUGCUGCUCUAUCCCAAUUGGGCAUUCCUUCCCGUACCUUGAUCCCUAUGGAGAUGCUCUGGACAUGGACUUGGCCUGAGGGCUGAGUUGAGGGAACGAAAUUGCUCAGAUGCCUGAGGCGACAGACUGAGUUAACUUGAACAUUUUGAUUAUUCAAAUGAGAAUUAUCCAAAUGACCCAGAUUUCUUCCUUACUGCAUCAUGACAAAUUGCUAGACAAUGACACCUCUACUGUCUGCAUUUCUGUGGGCAGACACAUUUGGAUAGCCAUACAGGGGAUCUGGAUCACCCUUCCUAAUGUUUUCUUCAGUGUCAAGUCUAAACUACAACACAUUAAUAGGCUCCUUCAGCUAGGUGCAAGGUUGAAGCCUUGAUGAACUGUGAUCACAAAAAUCUGCACAUUGCCCCUUCCCCGGGGUGAGAAGCAGCUCUCUAUAUUCCGGCCCAGCACCAAUCAAAUUCUAGCCUGAAUCCUUGGAAUUGCCUGUAGGUUUAGCCAUGCAUAAAUAUAUUUUUCAUUUCCUUGGUUUAAAAUGGUUAUUGGUAUAAAAUGGCUGUGCAGUUCUGACCUGAGAUAGCUGCACACCACUGGGAAGGAAAGUGAUAUCUGCUGAGGUCCCUGGGCUUGUAAAUAGCUGUUGUUAUUAGGAAUUGUACAGAUCUUUCAUUCCCUCCUGCAGACAUCCAGUUUCAGCCUAACCCAAGUGUUACAAAAAUCCUACAGAUACAGGCAUUAUAGAAAAAGUAAAUUCAGAGCAGAUGUUCAGAAGUACCUCCAAUCAAGAUUCACAGAAUGUUGAUUAAAGCAGGAUAUGAUAAACACAGAAAAAGAAGUACAAAAGCACAGAUGAAGAUGAGAUGUGGAAAGUAACCUGCUGCAAGCUAAGGACGUAAGGCAUAGCUGGUUCCUUUUCUAAGCUCUCAUCCUUGCAAUGCGUACAGGAGGUGAGAAGUUUUGGCACUCCUCUAUACUUCAUAAUUUGAACUAAUGUAUUUGUUAUUUGUUUAAAUGAUGAAAUGUUAGCAACAGUGAUUCUCCACAGGUGUAAGGAAAAUACUUCUGUUCCUUCUUAUAGGUCAGUCUUCAUCUGAAAUCAUUGAGUACAGG